UACGUAGGGUGCAAGCGUUGUCCGGAAUUAUUGGGCGUAAAGAGCGUGUAGGCGGCCCGAUUAGUCCGCUGUGAAAGUCCAGGGCUCAACCCUGGAAUGCCGGUGGAUACUGUCGGGCUAGAGUCCGGAAGGGGCGAGUGGAAUUCCUGGUGUAGCGGUGAAAUGCGCAGAUAUCAGGGAGGAACACCAAUGGCGAAGGCAGCUCGCUGGGACGUGACUGACGCUGAGACGCGAAAAGCGUGGGGGAGCGAACGGGG
rnacentral:rRNA from 1 species